rnacentral:misc_RNA from 1 species
UUUCCGUAGGUGAACCUGCGGAAGGAUCAUUAAAGAACGCCCCGUUUUUUGAAAUGGGUAAUUCUAAACCGUGUAUACAUACCUUUGUUGCUUUGGCAGGCCGCCCCUCAGGGCGUCGGCUCCGGCUGACUGCGCCUGCCAGAGGACCCAAACUCUUUUGUUUAGCGAUGUCUGAGUACUAUAUAAUAGUUAAAACUUUCAACAACGGAUCUCUUGGUUCUG